CAAAACCUCUGGAGCUUCCUGGGAAGUGCGCUGCGUAGCUGAUACACGCAUUGGAACCUCAGCAUCACUAGAGGUUUUGAAAGCAUGGGUCGACUGCUCCAAAGCAAGUUGGAACAUCUUGUCUGGACCCUACAGAACAUACUGCAGCCCAUGUCUUGCUGUUUUAUUCACCUCUGUUUGUUUGUUAGUUUUUUCUGGUUUUAAGUGUGCUAAACACCAUUGUAACAGUGUUCUCCAAGUGUUGAGUUGAGAUGAAUUGCUAAAAUAACUUUUAUGUUUUCCUGUUGUAUGAAAUCUUUAUUUAACAUUACACUCUGACAAUAUCACAAUUCAUGUGCAUUGAUUGAUGUUUACAGUCCUGCAGAAAUAUCACUGUCCAUGACACUGAAUCAGAUUCUUGACAAGAACUCAGAAAGCAUGACAGCAAACAGGUUGCUUAUUUUUGGUAUUUUGGGUCAACACUUCAUAAAGUAAUGGCUAAACUUUCUUUAAGAUGUUUUAUAAAUAAAUUGUGCCUCACUCA